GAUAAAAUUGAAAAAUUAUUUUUAUUUCUUAGUCCGUAUCUGCAAUAGUGAUGAAGAAAUAUCCUGUUGUAUAAGGUGUAUUUACUACCUGACGGUUUUGAAAACUUGUUUUGUUUUACUGUGGUGGUUGUUGAUUUUUUUGGUUUGUAACUGGUUGUUUGAACAUCAAAGUCAUCCAGAUCAGAA